rnacentral:rRNA from 1 species
GACGAACGCUGGCGGCGUGCUUAACACAUGCAAGUCGAACGAAGAGCGACGGAAGCUUGCUUCUCUCAAUCUUAGUGGCGGACGGGUGAGUAACGCGUAAUCAACCUGCCCUUCAGAGGGGGACUACAGCUGGAAACGACCGCUAAUACCGCAUACGAUCUACCUUCGGUAUCGAGGCGUGAUGAAAGGUGGCCUCUACAGGUAAGCUAUCACUGAAGGAGGGGAUUGCGCCUGAUUAGCUAGUUGGGGGGGUAACGGCCCACCAAGGCGAGGAUCAGUAGCCGGUCUGCGAGGAUGCACGGCCACGUUGGGAUGGGAGCACGGCCCAGACUCCUACGGGUGGCAGCAGUGGCGGAUCUUCCGCAAUGGACGCAAGUCUGACGAAGCAACGCCGCGUGAGAGAUGACGGCCUUCGGGUUGUAAGGCUCUGUUAGUCGGGACGGAAGGCCUUCUUGCGAAUAGUGGGAAGGAUUGACGGUACCGGAAUAGAAAGCCACGGCUAACUACGUG